AAACAGCAGAAGGGGAGACUUGCACUUGACAAUAAUAUUGAAAAAAAACAAUACAUGAGGUGAUGCGGUUCUUUAAAUUGGCAGUGAGGUCUGUUCAAUGCUUUGCAUGUUUUUGUUUCUAAAUACAAAACAGACAGCGCUAUAGCCAGUAGUGUAACAGUAAAACAAUUGCAAUAUGUUCGUUUCGUGUUUUGACGCAAACUCUGCAGCAUUGCACACAAUUAUUCAACAUUAUAACUAAGCUACAUCUUGACUGACCAGCGAGGUGGUUAAAUCAGUCACUGCUUUUAGAUUGUGUUGGGUAGCGUUAUUGGUAUUAUUAUUGAUCUGUCGAGCUAUGUGUCGACUCUUCGAUGCUCUGAUCUGAUGAGGAUCAUUAUAUAAUUUACACAGUUGCUUGCGGCUGUACCCACGGUAUAUCAGUACUAGGACUGGCGGUGGUGUUGCAUUGUCUGUCUGUCUGUCUGUCCGGACCGCUUUUUCGCAUCCCGGCUGUAUGACAUCCCCAGUCUAUGCUAAUCUAGAUUCGGUGGAGCCGCUAUUUAAUGACCUGCCCUGUAUGUUUUAUCUCGGUCUGUUUUUCGUAAACGUGUUGGUCCUCUACUAUGCCUUCUUGAUGGAGUACAUUGCCCUCAAUGUGGGGAUAGUCUUUCUGCCCGAGGAUAUGGACCAGGCGCUGGUUGAUCUGGGAGUUCUGUCGGACCCGGGUUCGGUUCCGUACGACACCGAUGCAGAACUGGACGUCUUUGAAGGAUACUUAGACUGAAAAAACACCCAAAAAACUACACGCAAGUCCGAAAUGCCGGAAGACAGAACGCCCAUAGCUACCAAAUACCCCUUCCACCAGUGUGACCACAGCAAUGCAGACAGAAAGCCGGAUUCUCCCCAGCGGCAGAGCACCCUGACCGCGCAAGUCUAUAAUUACCAUUGCUGGGUAACGUGGCUGGCUGACUCGUGUGCUGAAAAGACAUGGCCCAGAGGCAUUCACUUCAGACAGUGCUGUGACUUGGCUUGUUACAUGCAACAACAGCACACGUGGGGAUAUUACUGGAGCUUUCCAGACCGUAGGACACCAAGCCCAGGACAGGGGCACCCCUUGACCCUUGACCUCUGUUGCAGAGAAUGCUGCCACGGAGACGCAAACGGAUUGAACAGUCUGAGACCCUGAAUAAAAAUGAAAAAAAAAAACCAAACAGCAAUAUAAAAUGGAGUGGCCAACGGCAUGAAACUUAAGAGCUUUACUUCUGUGAACUAUUGAACUAUUCUCUCUGGACGCUGCAGUAUGCGAAGGAGAGCACACGCUGCCACACGCUGCCACACGCUACCUCUACACAGUAACUUGUGUUUGUGGUGCAGCGGACACAACACCACCAGAUCCACAUCUCAGAGUCAUGAGAUUAGCCUGAAAACUGACAGACUAUUUCUAUUGAAGGGUAUUUAGAUUUAUUAUUAUUAUUAUUAUUAUUAUUAUUAUUAUUAUUAUUAUUAUUAUUAUUAUUA